GUUAAUAAAUAAAAAGUAUCAUAAAGGCUCUAACUAAACUGUUUGAUAUUUACAGAUCUAAAGUUUCUUCAAAUGUCUCCUGCUGCAUCUUGAUCAUUAUCAGACUUCCUGCUACUGAAGCUCACCACACUGAUGCUCUGAAGGCAGUGAAGAAAACCACCUCAGUGCAGAAAUAAACCUGUGGUUGAUUACUGAGAGAUAGUUUUAGUACGGAUAUCAUUUGACUGCAGGAACUCUCAGAGUCGUUAGUUAUUAACAUUUCUACUAGCGUUCAUAAAACCUGCCUUUAUGUUACUAUUGCAAGGCUGCUGACUUUAGAAGCUGGACUGUUGAGCAGAGACGUCCUGAAUAACACAACCGAUUUUCUCUCUAGUAAAUCAAGUCACCAAGAGAUGCGACCUGGAGAUUAUGUAUUUUGGUUGGACAUGCGUGUCUGUUUUCCCUUCACUCUACUGGCCAUCGGUUUGUGCUACAUGGUACGUUUUAACCCCCUCAUCGUCUACUACCUGAACCUUCUCACUGCCAACCUGAU